CAGCAGCCGCGGUAAUACGGAGGGGGCUAGCGUUGUUCGGAAUUACUGGGCGUAAAGCGCACGUAGGCGGCUUUGCAAGUCAGAGGUGAAAGCCCGGGGCUCAACUCCGGAAUAGCCUUUGAGACUGCAUCGCUUGAACACGGGAGAGGUGAGUGGAAUUCCGAGUGUAGAGGUGAAAUUCGUAGAUAUUCGGAAGAACACCAGUGGCGAAGGCGGCUCACUGGACCGUUGUUGACGCUGAGGUGCGAAAGCGUGGGGAGCAAACAGGAUUAGAGACCCCAGUAGUCCCUGUCUCUUAUAC
rnacentral:rRNA from 1 species